UCUUACAAUCCCACAGCACUGUGUACAAGGAGGACCUGUGGGCUGGGUGGGGACAAUGGUGAGAAGCCACGAUUCUUGGAUUCUAAGAGUUCGUAAGUUCAAGUUUCAGAGAUUCCACAACUCUUAGAGUCCACAAUUCUAAAUUCUUAAGUGAUUUUAUGAUGUCAUCAGCCUUGGGCUUUCUAAGAUCCUGAGUUUCCAUGAAGUCCUAAGCUUGGCAGUGUAGACCCCAUAGUCUCAAACACUUCAGGGUCUGAGAACUCUCUGCUUUGUGACUGAGAACUGGACAGACUCAGGGUGGUGGCGGCUCCCAGACCCAUCUAGACCUGGAGCACGAGCUGCUACCCUGCAGAGGCUGGUCAGCCCGGCUCCAUGCCGCAGACCCAGGGCCCUCACUCAAGGAGGCUCUGCCUCAUCCUGGGGCUCCCCAGCUGGCCUGGUCCCUGCCUAUUCCCCCAAACCCUGACUCCUUGGGUCCUAGAGGCUUCCCAAACCCUGACAGACACUGCUGGGGAAGAGACAGAGGCAGCUGCACACAGAAGGUGGCUCGAGGGACAGGGGAGUGUUCUUGGCCACAGGGUUCUGGGAUCUCCCUCUUGAUGUCAGAAAAUCCCAGGUCUCCAGGAUCUCAGGAUCUACUCCAGAAGAGCUCCUAGCAGAGUAUCUAGAAAAUGCAGAUUUCCAGAGAUGGCUGCCUAGACCUGAACAAAGUGUAAACACAAUGCAAGUGCCUCUCUGCCAGCCUCAAACACCACUGGGUCUCCAGCGUCCCUAAAGGAGGGGACGGCCAUCAAAGGAAUGAAUGGACUGGGAACCGGUUUCAAAGCGGGAAGGGGGACCUGGGUCGUUCGUGAAAAAAGCCGCUUUUCAGAGCCAGACAGAGGGUAGGUUUUCAGAAGUCUGAAAACCAAGCAUCCCGUCCCUCGCCCACCUGCCAGGUGCUGGCCUGACAUGGAACUUUCCUACUCCUGCGAGUACAGGCAACCUGUCCUCCCCAGUGUUUGCCUCGCUGCCUUAACCUCCCCCCCCAAUUUCCCUAAUCCUGCAGUUGUGUGCAUUUUCCUUUAAAUAAAGUUCUAAAAAUGUGCCCAGUUCAUUUGAAACUCCUCCAUGACUGAGGAUGGAAAGGAGAUACUUCUGCUCACCUGCGCCUCCUCGAAGAGGGGAGAACCAGCCACCUGCAGGGGAAGCUCUUGCCUGCCCCAACCCCCCGCCCCACUCCCAGGUGGGGCAGAACCAUGCUUUCCGCCCCCGAGGCGUACUUCUUGGCUGGGACCCUGUGGCCGCCUCUGAGAGAUAGAUUUCCCUGCUCAUUCCUGCUCUGGCCAGAGUGGGUGGGAGUGGGUGGUUUGGCCGCCUCCAGGCAGGAAAAGGAACUGUGCCUUGAAUUUCACUUUCCAAGAGUCAGAGUUUGACAGCGCUGGCUUGGCAGGUGGACAUGUGGGCCGGCUGGGUUCCCUGGGGAGGGGAACCGGGAGCCCAGAACUUGAUUUCUUCCACAGACCACACAGCAGCCUCUGGCCAGAGUGCUUCUGAUCAUUAAUCGUUUGCAACUUGAGCUCUGAGACAUCCGCACAGAGCUUGGCACCGGGCGCCCCGGCCUUCGCUGCCACCCACCCCCCAGCUCACUAGAGGUGCCAAAGAAGCCCAUUCCCGACAGUCUGCUUUUGCCAGGGCCGUAGGGCAGGGCAACUGGGCAUCUGAAAGUUUCUGGGGAAGGUGGGAGGUAGGAAGGGGCCUGAGGUUUGGGGGGAGGCCUAAUCCCACUCCCAAGACAGGGAUGAGAAAAACUUCAGUGGCUUCUCUCCCCUGUUCUUCCUGAAAUCUUAGUGCCAGGGAGGAAACAGGGCGGAGGUGGGGCCGGAAGAUCCCAGGGGAAUAAGCAUCAGGUCGUGUGACCUAGAGCAAGUCAAUCUCUGCACCUCAGUUUCCUCAUCUGUUCAGUGGGGGGUAAUAUCCACCUAGCAGGCAGGAUUGUGGGAGGAUUUAAAUCAGGUAAUGCGUGACUAGUCAGCGCCUGGGGCAUAGUGAGCACAUAAUCGAUGCCACCUGGUAUCGACACAAUUAUAACACAGAGAGUGGUGGAAUGCCAGGCUGGCGGUCUUUGAGCUGACAUCCCAUCCUUCUCUGACUUUACCCAGCUGCUGCGGCCUCCCUUGGAGGAGACAGGGGUGUAUCUGGAUUCAAUCCCCCCACCCCGUGCCAAUGCUGACGAGCUGUGCAACUCUGGGCAAGGGUUAUCCCUCAGAUGCGUCUAUUUGUCCAUCCGUAAAGCGGGCUCAACCGUACUUCCCGCAAGAGAUCGCCCUCAUAAGGGGCUGGGCGUGGUGCGACACAGAGUGGCUCUCAGGGGACGCGGUUCUGCUUCCCCAGGCUGCCCCAGGAGUGUGCCCAGCAAGCCCUCUGCAGUGAGCGGUGGCCCGGCUGAGU